GUGUUACAUUUAUCACAUAUCUUAACUUGUAGCUUUUAUUACACUGAAUUUAAAUUAGCUCCUGAACACUGUUUAGAAAACACUAAAUGAAACGAUGCAGCAACAGUGGUUUGGUUGAUCAUUUUUUAAGGAGAGAGGGUGAAUGGGACAGUGUGACUGGGCCUAGUGUGUUCCACUUGGCACCGUCCCGGAGAAAGUAACAGGAUUACGACAGACAGCUAAAGUCAACAGCUGACACACACACGCACAUACACACACACUGUAUAUACUCACACACGUCUCACAGCUGACAACAGGACAAAGUGGCAACUGUCCGACCUGAGACGUGGUCAUGGAACCAUCAUCGCUCUUUACUAAACUAUCUGUGCAUGUGCAUUUGUGUGUGUUUCCAACGUAACUGAUCAGCGUAAGAUGCUGUUUAAACAGAGCCCUACAUAACAGCAUAACUGUGGUAACUGGUCCAGCUCUGCCGCUGCUGCGAGGCAUCUCAAGUUUUUCCUGCCUGUGCAGGGUCAUCUGAUGCCAACAAUGAAGCCGCUGCCUCAUUAUGUGUCCGCCUGCCAGGACCGGGCUCGCACAGAUGCACAAACCUUUUGCCAUUCAACCUAUUCAGAUGGCAGACUGGCACGUGCCUCUGUGCAUGGAUGUCAAUACACACACACACACACACACACACACAUACACACACAGACAGACUGGCAGAAUCCUCUGGAGUGGGCUGGAUGACAGCUGAUGUCUUUUGAUACGGGGUUGUUUACUGUGCAGUGGCGUAGUCCUCCCGUGCAGAAUGCUGAGUCCACUGAAAAGCGUUUUCACCUCGAAAAACAACAUCAUCCAGAGCAGGUGGACGGCCCAGCGGACGCUUCUGGAUAUUAAAACCCUGUGGGACAUCUGUCGCUUUCCUUUUGACUGUCUAGUGUUUCAGCACAUGUGAUGGUGGGCGGUGGGGUGGGGGGCUCUGACUCGCUGACAGUUGUCAACACAAGUCAUGUGGUUUUCUAAUCAUGUGUUUAUAGAGAGCCUCACAGACCCCUGUGGCAUGAUGACAUAACUAAUUUAGAUAUGAAUUAUGUAUUUUAUUUUUCUUCUAAACAAUAUGUAAUGAACUACAACAGUAAUAAAUAAAUAUCACAACUUGCUAAAAUGGCUGAGAUCUCAACCAACAUAAAACUUUAUACUCUGCCACUGUAAAUAAUUUGUCAAACAGUAGACACAUAAAAUCCAUAUGAAAUCACUUAGUUUACAGCUUUCUGCUGGAUGAGUGGCCUAAUCCACACUAGGACUGAAUUUUCAUUAUCAAUUAUUUUCUCUAUAUGUUUGGUCUACAGAAUGUCUGUCUUUAAAAUACCUUUAAAAAAUUGCUAAUUUUGUUCAACCAACAGUCCAAAGAAUUUCACUUACUAUGAAAUAAAACAAAGAAAAGUACCAAAUCCUCAGAACUGAAAAACUGGGAAUAGGAAACUGGCAUUUUGGCUUAAAAACAGACAGAUAAUUAUUUAUCAAAUAAAGUUCCUGUCAGUCGACUAACUGAUUUAAAGGACUAGUGCUUUCAACUCUUGUCCACACAGCAUGUGAUGCUCUGGGUUUAAAUGCACUGCCUUUGUUGCAUGUCAUCUAAUCUAUUAUCUACUUUAUAAAAGCAAUCUUCCAAAAAAACCUUGAAAAUGAAGACACAGUAAUGUACUCUAAUAUCAUUGCUCUGAACAACAAGUAAAAGGCAGGACAGUGAGGAGAGCAGUGUGGUUUUAAAGCGCAUUUCAGGCAGAUGAGGCAGCUCUACGUGGCCUCGGCCAGCUGGAUGAAAAGAAUCACAUCUGGCGAGCUGAGUCAAAAGCCUAAAGAUGCCAAACUCUGUUGAAAUAUUUGGCGAAGUUGUCUGCUCCACUCAAACAUGCGAGCGGUAAACACACAGUGAGAGAGAUGGCCGCAAAAGCAUCCAGACAUACUGUACACUAAAAUGCCAGCUCUGCAUUUUCAAUACAAUCUAUAGCUGUAGGUGAAACAAAGCCUAUUUUCUCACAUCAAUACGCAUUCAAAUUGCUUACAUGAGAAACAGGAAGGACUGUUCUUUGUAUUUAAAAAACAAAAUGCUGAGCUCUAUGGUUGGGAUGACAUAUCAGUUUGUAGACGUCAACUCUGACUCUGCAGACAAUCAGAAUUAAACUCACAAUGAGACAUCUAUCACUUUCCUGCUGGCCCCAGGUGAAACAUAUGGCACAUUGGGAAGGGUGUGAUAAAUACACUACACUAGCCCUAUAAAAUAAUCUGUGGUUAGCCAAGACGUGACUUGUGGUACAAAGCAGCUAUUACUUUCCUCUUUUUUUUUCCUGGUUGACAAUUAACUGAGUCAGGGCAAGACAAGCCCGUCUAUGAUGUUUCAAACCUUCCACUCCUUUGAAUUUCUGCAGCCAGUCCUGUCUUGUCUUUAUCUCCUCUGGACAAAAACCUUAGUUCAGAUAGAACAACAUGUGUUUCUAUUGAUGAUUGGGUGUAAUUUUGGGGAUGUCGUUCUUGCUUUGUGGCUUUUUUUAUAUUGGCUGAAUGAUGGAGCGAAUACAAUAAAUGUUUGUAGCAGAGGAGAGAGUUACAGGAAAAUUUUAAGUGUUGCUGCUGAAUGUAGGGGAAAACCCUGGGUUGGUCCUUGUAAAAGACUGGAAACACUCUUCCUGGCCCAUCCAUUGAUUUAAUUCCACCUCCGUCUUCACAUUUUCAUUCACUUUGCUCUCCAGCAUCUCUGCAGUUUAUCGAGCAUGCGAACAUUCCUCCGGAGAAUGCGGCUAUUUUUCAGACUCCACUUCAUCCUGACUUCUUUUUCUUUCAUUUCCAUGAGUCGCGUCACUCCCUUUAUUUCUCUCUCCGUUCCUUUCCCAAUCCUGUAUGUGUUGAAUAUCA